rnacentral:rRNA from 1 species
AUGCCAGACUCCUACGGGAGGCAGCAGUGAGGAAUAUUGGUCAAUGGGCGGAAGCCUGAACCAGCCAAGUCGCGUGAGGGAAUAAGGCCCUACGGGUCGUAAACCUCUUUUGCCGGGGAGCAAGGGCGGGGACGUGUCCCGGCCCGGAGAGUACCCGGAGAAAAAGCAUCGGCUAACUCCGUGCCAGCAGCCGCGGUAAUACGGAGGAUGCGAGCGUUAUCCGGAUUUAUUGGGUUUAAAGGGUGCGUAGGCGGGCAUUUAAGCCGGCGGUCAAAUGUCGGGGCUCAACCCCGGCCUGCCGUCGGAACUGGGUGCCUUGAGUGGGCGAGAAGUAUGCGGAAUGCGUGGUGUAGCGGUGAAAUGCUUAGAUAUCACGAAGAACUCCGAUUGCGAAGGCAGCUUACUAAACUGCCACUGACAUUGAUGCUCGAAAGUGUGGGUAUCAAACAGGAUUAGAUACCCCUGUAGC